rnacentral:rRNA from 1 species
GGGGAAUAUUGGACAAUGGGGGCAACCCUGAUCCAGCCAUGCCGCGUGAGUGAAGAAGGCCUUAGGGUUGUAAAGCUCUUUCACCCGUGACGAUGAUGACGGUAGCGGGAGAAGAAGCCCCGGCUAAUUCCGUGCCAGCAGCCGCGGUAAUACGGAAGGGGCUAGCGUUGUUCGGAAUUACUGGGCGUAAAGCGCGCGUAGGCGGCCAUGCAAGUGAGGCGUGAAAGGCCUGGGCUCAACCUGGGAACUGCGUUUCAGACUGCACGGCUUGAGUCCGGGAGAGGGUGGUGGAAUUCCCAGUGUAGAGGUGAAAUUCGUAGAUAUUGGGAGGAACACCAGUGGCGAAGGCGGCCACCUGGCCCGGUACUGACGCUCAAGUGCGAAAGCGUGGGGAGCAAAC